rnacentral:lncRNA from 1 species
AAUAGGAUUUAAAAUUUUUUUAGGAUUUGAUUAAGAUUUGUUUAAGAUUUGAUUAUGAUAUGUCUAAAAUUUGAUUAGGAUUUGAUUAGUAUAUGAUUAGAAUUUGCCUAAUAUUUAAUUAUAAUUUUACAAAAAUUUGAUCUAAGAUUAGAAUUUAGGACUUAAUUAGGAUUUUGUUAGGAUUUGAUUUAAGAUUUGAUUAAGAUAUGAUUAAGAUUUAGAAUUUAUCCAGGAUUUGAUUUAAGGUUUAGUUGAGGUUUAAGUUUUGUCUAAGAUUUGGUUAGGAUUUAAGGUUUAACUAGGAUUUGAUUAGGAUUUGACCAAAAUUUUAUUAGAAUUUGGUGUAGGAUUAAGAUUUAAGAUUUGAUUAGGAUUUUAUUAAGCUUUGAAUAGGAUUUA